UAAUGAAGGUGAAAGUGAAAAUAGUUUUCGACUCUCAGACAGAGUCACUGCGCCAUUACACUUCCUGCUGUAACGGACUGAUACAGGAGGAAUAUAUGUGUAUAUGUAGACAGGGGACAUUUUAAACACGGUGUUUAAACCCUAAUGAGUUAAAUACCGAAUAUGUGGCGCUCUAAAAUGUGGAAACACUUCAGUUAAAGUAUCAGAUGUGUUUAUAUGAGGAACAGGAAAGGAUUUUAUUAGUCUGAAUCUACAGAAAGAGAUACAGAAAGAUGGCGACUGCAAGCAAUGAGUUUAAACUCAUUGCUCCCAGAGUAGAGUUUAAAGACUCUGCUGUCACUCUCUCAUGUUGUCUGUCUCCUGAAAUCAGUGCUGUUGACUUGGAGAUCCGGUGGUUUAAGGAGACAGACUGUGUUUGUGUUUAUAAGAACAGUAAGGUGACAGAGGGGAGAGGUUAUGAGGGCAGAGUGAGUCUGUUCACUCAGGAGCUGGAGAGAGGAAACGUCUCCUUACAGCUGAGAAACUGUACAGAGUCAGAUGAUGGAUAUUACCUCUGUCAGGUCACUGAUGGAGACAGAACAGAAGAGAUUACAGUAUAUAUGAUAGAUCAGACUACAUCACUGCCAAAUACAGCACUGAGAACCAAACUACACACAUUUAGGUUAAAGGUAGAGGAAUAAAACACAGUCUGGCUGAUGAUUAAGACUUUUGGUGUAAGUAUAUCUGUCUAGUGGCUAAUGUGAGAUGUAUAACAGAUUGAUCCCUGAGGCACUCCAGAUUGAACAA